AGUGAACGCUGGCGGUAGGCCUAACACAUGCAAGUCGAACGGCAGCACAGUAAGAGCUUGCUCUUACGGGUGGCGAGUGGCGGACGUGUGAGGAAUACAUCGGAAUCUACUUUUUCGUGGGGGAUAACGUAGGGAAACUUACGCUAAUACCGCAUACGACCUACGGGUGAAAGCAGGGGAUCUUCGGACCUUGCGCGAUUGAAUGAGCCGAUGUCGGAUUAGCUAGUUGGCGGGGUAAAGGCCCACCAAGGCGACGAUCCGUAGCUGGUCUGAGAGGAUGAUCAGCCACACUGGAACUGAGACACGGUCCAGACUCCUGCGGGAGGCAGCAGUGGGGAAUGUUGGACAAUGGGCGCAAGCCUGAUCCAGCCAUACCGCGUGGGUGAAGAAGGCCUUCGGGUUGUAAAGCCCUUUUGUUGGGAAAGAAAAGCAGCAGGUUAAUACCCCGCUGUUCUGACGGUACCCAAAGAAUAAGCACCGGCUAACUUCGUG
rnacentral:rRNA from 1 species